ACCUUCCAAUAUGUCUCGGAAGCGUAAGAGCCGUAAGAUAUAAUGUGCUGUAUUUAUUAAUGAAGUAAAGAUAUAUUGUGUUUCGUUUAUUUAUUUACAAUAUGUUCAGUAGGUACAGGGGGGUAAAGUUGGACUCAAGAAUAAGCCUCAGGAACGUAACUCAUUCGUAAAUAGAGGAGCAGCUGUGUUUAUUUACAGGAUUUAAUUAUUGUCUUGUGUUAAUCCAAAUCAUAAAUGACCUUUAAUUAGUUCAAGCACGAUAGAACUUAACUCCAGUACUGAACAAUAUAGUGAGGAAUCUCAAUAGUGAUUUGCUUUUGUGAAUGGCUAUCCUAUGGUAAUGAUUAUCUUAAAUUACCCAAUUAAUUGUAGUAAAUAUCCAAAAUAUGUUAAUUUGUACUUUAUUUAAUUGAUUUGUUGCAAUAAUUGUCUCAGUUGAUAUAUAAUUCACGAAAUAAUAUAAUGUGUCCCGUUGCGAUGAAUUCAAAACAAGAAUUUACCAAGACUGUGGUUGUAGGUAAUGGCAGUCGUCCUUAUAAACACUAGGACAUCGGAUUGUAUAUUUUACUGGGGGUAACUCACAUAGUUAUAAAUUCUUUGGGGGAGAGGGAGGUAAAUGACUUCUAGAUAGGGAGGAGAGGGAGGUAAAUGACUUCUAGAUAGGGAGGUGAGGAGAGGGAGGUAGGUAGGUAAAUUGACUUCUGGGUAGGGAGGUGAGGGGAGGAUAGGGAGGUAAGGGAAGGGUGGUAAAAUAACUUCUAGGUAGGGAAGUGAGGGGUGGGUAGGGAGGAAUCUCAGAGUAGGAAAUCUUAAACUAAAAAAUAUAUAGAAGUCAAAUUUAAAUGUGAGGCAGGUGAUGAUGGGAUAACGUGACCCCACAGCACUCCAGUAGGUCUUAGUCUUGUGGAUCAGCUUCCUCCUACGAGCCGAGACGUAGGAAUCUCACGGUGGGUCGUCUGGGGAACCUUUUUACAGUGGCUGAUGUAUGUAAUAUUUUGGGAGAGAGUGAGUGAAUGACGUGCACUUAAGAUGACGUUAUGGGAUUUGGGAUUUGUGUUUUGUAGUAUUAUAUGGGAUUUGAGUUUUAGACCAGUUUUUUUGGAUUAUUGUGACGUUACUGAAUUUUUUAUUAGUUUUUAGGUAUUUUUUUAUAUAAAUUAAAUUUCCAACAGGUAAUUCUCUUAAAUUUUUACAGAUAAUGAAUUUUAAACUAUUUUUAGUAAUUUUAAACUGAUGAUUAUUAUGAUUAUGUGUGAUUUGGAUUUGAGAAACUUGAGGUUUGUUUGAUUUCUGGAGUGGAUAGUAAUUGUUUCCACUCGUCUGAGCUGCCAGGAGACAGACGUGUGCUCGAUAAGGAAAAGCUAUUUCUUGAGACUAUUCUGAUAACCAGUUUUGUUGCUUCCCGGGGCAUCUCAACAAGCUGGAAACUGGAGACAUUUUAUUUCCAUGCCCAGUUUCGUUGCUUCCCGGGGCAUCUCAACAAGCUGGAAACUGGAGACAUUUUAUUUCCAUGCCCAGUUUCGUUGCUUCCCGGGGCAUCUCAACAAACUGGAGACAUUUUAUUUCCAUGCCCGGUUUCAUUGCUUCCCGGGGCAUCUCAACAAGCUGGAAACUGGAGACAUUUUAUUUCCAUGCCCAGUUUCGUUGCUUCCCGGGGCAUCUCAACAAGCUGGAAACUGGAGACAUUUUAUUUCCAUGCCCAGUUUCGUUGCUUCCCGGGGCAUCUCAACAAACUGGAGACAUUUUAUUUCCAUGCCCGGUUUUGUUGCUUCCCGGGGCAUCUCGAAACUCAGGGUAAGAAACGGAGGCUUCAUUAACUUGUCUCCCAGGUUUGUUGGUGCUCUAUACAUUGUGAAACAUCGUGCAAGAAAAUGAAGCCUCGUGAUGUGGAAGCCUUAAGUUUUGUUAGUGCCCCGGACGUCUCGAAACAUCGUGCAAGAAACUGAAACUAACAGUGAAACCUCAGUAUAAUGGACUUUCCUCUCUAUAUAGUUCAUUAGAUGGAGGUUUCACUCUACUAUACGUAAUUUUAGUACGGAAACACCCUGUAUGUACAUUUUCUACCAGUGAACACAACUCUAGGAAACACAUCCUUUAUUAGCCAUUUUAGUGUUUCCCUCUGAUAGGCCCAGGUUAAAUUCUCUAGAGGAAUCGUCGAGAUAUUUACUGCGUUUCUUCAGCUUGUCUUCGUUAAUUAGCGUUUGUUAUGGUAAAUUUUUUGUACAAAUAGAAAUAGUUUGCCAAGUACAGAGCCGAGCUUGUGUAGGUGAGUGAACACAGUGUAUGGGGGACACAGGAGUGAAGUGAGAGAAACGAUGUAAAUGGAAAACAGGAAAAGUGAAGAAGUUAAAGCUUAUGAUCGUUGAUAUUACCACAACUUUGGAACCAGUGAAGAUAUUGAAGUGAUUUAAGCUGCAGAUUGUAUUAGAAAUGUAACAGAUAACAGUAAAAGAAUAUUAAGUAUUGUUUCAGGCAUAGUGUCGCUUGUUCCGCUUCAGUUCUGUGUUUCCUAUGUCUACCAAUACAGUAUUAAGUCUGUGUUGGUGAGAUACUAUUAGUGAAAAAAAAGUGAAUACAAUAUAUAUCUUUUUAUCAAAUUCUUAAAAGCAUUUAUUAAAAGGUGAUGUAUUGCCCCAAAGACAAGUGUUAUGGCUGAUGGUGACAACAGCCGAGUCGCUCUUAUCACCACAUUUAAAAUUAACUGUAAAUAAGUGGUAAGUCUGAUUUAUAUAAUGUAAAUUAAAUGUGAAUUUUG
rnacentral:lncRNA from 1 species